ensembl:lncRNA
CAAGGCUGCAGGUGAAAUUAAAGUUUCUCAUUAAGUUGACCUUAAAGUAGGGAUAUUAUUCUGGAUUACUCUAAUAGGUCCAGUGUAAGCAGAAGUGUUCUUAAACGGAGGUAGAAAAGAAAGUUGGAGUAAUGUGAUAUAAGAAGGAAUCAACCCACCAUCACUGUCUUUGAAGACAAGAAGAAGGAGCCAUGAGCCAAGAGAAUGCAAAAGCCUGUACAAGAUGGAAAAGAGUUUUGACAACAGAUGUAGCUGGAGACUGAAGCACUUUACAAGACAGCCUCACUCUUCCAUCACCUGGAUCAAGUCCAAAGUAUUUCACCUGAAUUUCUUGGCCAACUUCUAAUCCUAGAGCAGUGGGAUGUUUAUUCUUUCAUUGAUCAAGUUGUGUGUUAUGAAGUAGUACUGCAGUCAUAUUUGGAUUUCAGUGAUGAAUUCUCUUGCCUCAUGCAUUGCACUGAUUGUUGGUGCAAAAGCAGAAUAUGUUUCUUCAUCCACUUGAUUAACAGUUACACCUGUUUCAGCUUGAAGCCUUUUUAAAUGAAAUUCACCUGGUCCAACAAAUUUUGCUCAUUUUGAUAAUGGAACCUCAACAAUUUCUACAACAGGUCCAUUUUCUUUUCUAGAUGCUCAAGGUUUUGAAAUUGUUUUGUUCAUAAUCUGUAAUAUUUCUGUCUUUGCCACUGAUGCUUGCUGAAUAGCCUCCAUUACAAUUUUUAUUGGUAUUCCUGGUAAUUUAAUA